rnacentral:rRNA from 1 species
CAAUAGCGUAUAUUGAAGUUGUUGCAGUUAAAAAGCUCGUAGUUGGAUUUCGGGUGGGAAUGGCCGGUCCGCCGUUUCGGUGUGCACUUGCUACGCCCACCUUGCUGCCGGGGACGUGCUCUUGAGUUCACGCUCGGGACACGGAGUCGGCGAGGUUACUUUGAGUAAAUUAGAGUGUUCAAAGCAGGCCUACGCUCUGAAUACAUUAGCAUGGAAUAACACGAUAGGACUCUGGCCUAUCUUGUUGGUCUGUAGGACCGGAGUAAUGAUUAAGAGGGACAGUCGGGGGCAUUCGUAUUUCAUUGUCAGAGGUGAAAUUCUUGGAUUUAUGAAAGACGAACUACUGCGAAAGCAUUUGCCAAGGAUGUUUUCAUUAA